GGGAUAACGUUCUGAAAAGAACGCUAAUACCGCAUAAGAUUGUAGCUUCGCAUGGAGCAGCAAUCAAAGGAGUAAUCCGCUGAAAGAUGGACUCGCGUCCGAUUAGAUAGUUGGCGGGGUAACGGCCCACCAAGUCGACGAUCGGUAGCCGGACUGAGAGGUUGAUCGGCCACAUUGGGACUGAGACACGGCCCAGACUCCUACGGGAGGCAGCAGUGAGGGAUAUUGGGCAAUGGGGGAAACCCUGACCCAGCAACGCCGCGUGAGGGAUGACGGUUUUCGGAUUGUAAACCUCUGUCCUCUGUGAAGAUAGUGACGGUAGCAGAGGAGGAAGCUCCGGCUAACUACGUGCCAGCAGCCGCGGUAAUACGUAGGGAGCAAGCGUUGUCCGGAUUUACUGGGUGUAAAGGGUGCGUAGGCGGAUUGGCAAGUCAGAAGUGAAAUCCAUGGGCUUAACCCAUGAACUGCUUUUGAAACUGUUAGUCUUGAGUGAAGUAGAGGUAGGCGGAAUUCCCGGUGUAGCGGUGAAAUGCGUAGAGAUCGGGAGGAACACCAGUGGCGAAGGCGGCCUACUGGGCUUUAACUGACGCUGAGGCACGAAAAUGUGGGUAGCAAACAGGAUUAGAUACCCUGGUAGUCCACACUGUAA
rnacentral:rRNA from 1 species